CCUCGCAGUCUUUUCACCUGGUUUCCCUCGCCUCCCUGCUCGCUUGCGCUGGGACCUGUGCUGGCAGCAGGAGGUGGAGGGAGGACCCGGGGCACCAUAGAAGCCGGGAAAUGGACUCAGUGACCUUUGAGGAUGUGGCUGUGAACUUUACCCAGGAGGAGUGGGCUCUGCUGGAUUCUUCCCAGAAGCAUCUCUACAGAGAUGUGAUACAGGAAACCAUCAAUAACCUGAUGUCUGUAGGAAUAAUAUGGCAAGGCCAGAACACUGAAUAUCAUUGCAAAGAUUCCAGAAGAAAUCCCAAGAAAUCAUAUGGCAGAGAGACUCUGUGAAUGUAAAGACGGUCAAUGUGAUGAAACUUUCAGCAUUAUUCCAGAUGCUAUAAUGAACAAGAAGACUUUUCCUGAGGUAAAACCAUGUGAAAGCCAUGUGUGCGCAGAAGGCAACAUGGAUCAUUCAUCUCUGAAUUGCUGCAUCAGCACUGACACUGGACACAAGCCAUAUGAAUGUCAGGAACAUGGAGAGAAGCCACAUAAAUGUAAGCAGUGUGUGGAAACCUUCAGCUGUCUCCACUCCUUUCAAACACGUGAAAAGCCUCACACUGGAGAGAAAGUCUAUGAUUGUAAGAAAUGGGAAAAAACUUUCAUUUCUUUCCAAACUGUUCAAAGUCACAGGGUAAUGCACAGUGGAGAUGGACCUUAUACAUGUAUUUGUGGGAAAGCCUUUGAUAAUCUCAGUUUAUAUCUCACGCAUGUAAGAUCUCAUACUGGACAGAAGCCAUAUAAAUGUAAUGAAUGUGGGAAAGCCUUUGAGUUUCUCAGUGACUUUCACAGACAUGAUGAAAGAACGCACACCAGGGAGAAGCAGUAUGAAUGUAAGCAAUGUGGGAAAGCCUUUCGUCAUUCCAGGUCCAUUCGAACACAUAUAUAAGAAAUCACACUGGAGAGAAACCGUAUGAAUGUCAGCAAUGUGGGAAAGCCUUUAGUAAUUCCAGUUACAUUAGAAAACAUGCAAGAAUUCACACUGGAGAGAAACCGUAUGAAUGUAAGCAAUGUGGGAAAGCUUUUAAUAGUUCCAGUUCCAUUCGAACACAUGCAAGAAUUCACACUGGAGAGAAGCCCUAUGAAUGUAAGCAGUGUGGGAGAGCCUUUGCUUUUCUAAGUUCCUUUCAAUAUCAUGAAAGGAUUCACAGUGGUGAGAAACCCUAUGCAUGUCAGCAAUGUGGGAAAGCCUUUCGUUGUCCCUGUUCCGUUCGAAGACAUGAAAUAAUUCACACUGGAGAGAAACCGUAUGAAUGUCAGUAAUGGGGGAAAGUCCUUCAGAUACUACAGUUCACUUCAAGGACAUAAAAAUUCACACUGGAGAGAAGCCAUAUGAAUGUGGGGACUGGGGGAAAGCCUUCACUCAUCAUUAUUUGUUUGCAUAAACAUAAAAUUGCCCAUACUGCAGAGAAGCCUUAUGAAUGUUAGGAAUGUGGGAAAGCCUUCAGUUAUCUCAUUCCUUUUUGUAGACAUAAAAUUACCCAUACUGCAGAGAAACUUUGAGUGUAAGGAAUGUGGGAAAGCCUUCUGUUAAUCACAGUUCCCUUCAACGACAUGAAAAAACUCACAGCAGAGAAAAGGUGUAUGGAUAUUUUAAAAGGCCAUGCAUGGUGCCUCAAGG